AGGGCCGGAAGCCCGGCUCCCGACUCCGCUUCGUCCCCACAACCUCCGGCCGCCUGAAGUCCUGAGGGGCCGUGGCCCUGGGUCGUCUCCCCUGUUCCCAGCCUCCAGUCGCAGCUGGCGGAGAGAAGUUCCCGAGGCCCCCCCGACUUGCAAGGAGGCCGACCCAAGUCUCCCUGCUGUCAUUUCAGGAGGCCGAAUUUUUUCCCAAUCCCAGAGAAGGUGUCAGAGGCCUGGUUAGCAGUCUUGUCGAUGGUUUCCUGGGUGGUCUUGGCCAGCUGGUCCAUGGCUGGGGAAGGGCGGGAGAGAGGGCAGGUCAGGCAGGGCCCGGGAACCACAGUGCCUGUAGGCUUAGCCUGGCCUGGGUCUCCCGGGGGACCUGCUUGGGGCAUUGUGGACAGAGGGCUCUGCAGAGGAGAGGAUGUGCCUGGGCCCCAGCCGGGAUGGGGCGGGGAGUGGGAGGUGUGCUGGGGUUGCCCGCCUCCCUCCAGCCCCACCAGACCUUUCUGCCCCGCCUCUGUGGCCUGGUCCACCACUUGCUGAGCUGCCGCUCCGGCCGCUGACACUGGAACAGAGAGAUGUGGCUUUUAGCCCCUGUUGAGGCACCACCGACUACAGGUGCCCCACCAUUGCCAUGCCUCUGUGUCCUCCAGAGUAUUCGGUGGUACAGGUCCAAGGGAUGGAUGCCAUGGAGAUAAAGUCCCUGGCCCAGGGCCCCCCAGCCCGAGGGGCAGGAGACCUUUCCAUGCCUCUGGGAUGUUUUUGUUUAUUUCUAACUCUGAGCUCCUUCUCUGUGGGGGAGGAGCUUCCCUUUCCAUCUCCAGGGCUACUGAGAAAAUGUUGGACAGAGGAAGGAAGGCAGGGCAGGGCCAGGCUGCAGCUAGCAUCUGGACUGUUGGCUAAUGCUGGUGAUGGCGCAGAAGACCCUUGCCCCCUUUUACAGCUUCUCCCCUAGAAGCCUGGCCCAGAUGCCUGAAUUCCCACCUUUCAUGCACUUAGCCCUGGGGCUUGCAGUUUUGCCAGGUCCUUACUGCCUCCUCCCUCCUGUGGCCUGCCCGGAGGGGCACACAAGCAAAGCCAGUGCCUCUGUGGACAGGCAGCUUAAGACAUUAGGAGACAAAUGAAGGAAGGAGGCAAAACUUCCAAGGCCGGACUAUCUCCUCUGGACCAGAGUUUCGGCCUGCUGGGAAUGGAGUCACCAGCCCCGGGGGGGCUGACAGGUGGCUCCCGCCUACAGAGCUGUAACUCAUCCCUGCUGCUGAACAGGAAAGGGCCUGCCUUACCCAGAUCCCAUCCUCCGGAAAGGGUUAGUCAGGCAAGUGUGCUGAGAGGCCCCUGGGAACCUCGUCUCGAUUAACCCAUCAGAAAGCAGCCCAUCCUUUGCACCCAGCUCUCAGAUGGAAAAGUGAAGCCCAGAAGGAAGGGACCUGACACGGAGGCUUCCUUGGUAGCAUUUCAGUCUCAAGGGAAGAACUGUGGGCCUCCCCUGGAGCACUGGUGAAGUAAGGGGUUGGUUUGGAUAUUGUCUCCUGACUGGGAUAUGGGCAGGACUGACAGGGAGCUGGAGUCCUAACGAAGCCUGGGCUAGGUGCAGGAAGAACCAACCCAGUGGUCUCCUGACAUCUCCCACGCCCCCACCGCAGCUGGGUCACCUCCAGAAUACGGAGGAGAGAGCUGGAGGUGGAGGAACUAAGGACCUUCUUUGCCAGGUGGGGACUUAAAGUUUCAGUUACUCAUUGUUGGGGCUCAGAAACCAAUACCCCGAAAUAUAGUGGUGUGACAUUCUGAACUGAAGAAGCCUUAAGGUCUCUCCGACCAGACUCCCACAGGCCCCCCAACCCUUUGUCUCUUCCAAAGCAUACAGUGAAGUUGUUCUCUGAAGUUCCUCAUCUGCCUUAAGUCUGGACCCACCAAAGAAGAAAACAAUGACCACUGGUCCCUUCCCGGAGUUUUCUCUGACUGAACUGCUGUCACAGGAAGAAAGACUGAAGCCUGCUCACAUACCUGGACAGAUUUUGCAAACCGUUGUCUGCUCUGUGAGCCCAACAGACUUUGUCCCAGGCCACUGUAUGUUCUUCAAGCCCACUGAAUUCCCCUGAAAAUCAUUUACUAGCCCCCUGAAAUUACCCACACUUCCCCAUUGCUCAUCUGUACCCCAUUUCGUGGUGGGGCAGUCACUCUGAUUUCCCCUUGCAUGCUAAUGAAUGUGUAUUCCAUUUCUAUUCUGCUUUCAUGAGCUGACUUUUCAGUGAACCUUCAGAGGGUAAAGGGGAAGUUUUCCCUUGGCCCCUGCACCGCAAUUGGUAAGGUCCAAAAUGUUAAAUGGAAAAUUCCAGAAAUAGCUGGUCGUGAUGGCUCCUGCCUGUAAUCCCAGCACUUUGGGAGGCCGAGGUAGGUGGAUAGCUUGAAGUCAGGAGUUCGAGACCAGCCUGGCCAACAUGGUGAAACCCUGUCUGUACUAAAAGUACCAAAAUUAGCUGGGCGUGGUGGCGCACGCCUGUAGUCCCUGCUACUUGGGAGGCUGAGGCAGGAGAAUCACUUGAACCUGGGAGGCAGAGGUUGCAGUGAGCAGAGAUCGCACCACCACUCCAGCCUGGAUGACAGAGUAAGACUCCGUCUCAAAAAAAA
rnacentral:lncRNA from 1 species